rnacentral:rRNA from 1 species
GCUUAACACAUGCAAGUCGAGGGGCAUCAGGAAGAAAGCUUGCUUUCUUUGCUGGCGACCGGCGCACGGGUGAGUAACACGUAUCCAACCUGCCCUUUACUCGGGGAUAGCCUUUCGAAAGAAAGAUUAAUACCCGAUAGCAUAAUGAUUCCGCAUGGUUUCAUUAUUAAAGGAUUCCGGUAAAGGAUGGGGAUGCGUUCCAUUAGGUUGUUGGUGAGGUAACGGCCCACCAAGCCUUCGAUGGAUAGGGGUUCUGAGAGGAAGGUCCCCCACAUUGGAACUGAGACACGGUCCAAACUCCUACGGGAGGCAGCAGUGAGGAAUAUUGGUCAAUGGGCGCUAGCCUGAACCAGCCAAGUAGCGUGAAGGAUGAAGGCUCUAUGGGUCGUAAACUUCUUUUAUAUAAGAAUAAAGUGCAGUAUGUAUACUGUUUUGUAUGUAUUAUAUGAAUAAGGAUCGGCUAACUCCGUGCCAGCAGCCGCGGUAAUACGGAGGAUCCGAGCGUUAUCCGGAUUUAUUGGGUUUAAAGGGAGCGUAGGUGGACUGGUAAGUCAGUUGUGAAAGUUUGCGGCUCAACCGUAAAAUUGCAGUUGAUACUGUCAGUCUUGAGUACAGUAGAGGUGGGCGGAAUUCGUGGUGUAGCGGUGAAAUGCUUAGAUAUCACGAAGAACUCCGAUUGCGAAGGCAGCUCACUGGACUGCAACUGACACUGAUGCUCGAAAGUGUGGGUAUCAAACAGGAUUAGAUACCCUGGUAGUCCACACAGUAAACGAUGAAUACUCGCUGUUUGCGAUAUACAGUAAGCGGCCAAGCGAAAGCAUUAAGUAUUCCACCUGGGGAGUACGCCGGCAACGGUGAAACUCAAAGGAAUUGACGGGGGCCCGCACAAGCGGAGGAACAUGUGGUUUAAUUCGAUGAUACGCGAGGAACCUUACCCGGGCUUAAAUUGCAGUGGAAUGAUGUGGAAACAUGUCAGUGAGCAAUCACCGCUGUGAAGGUGCUGCAUGGUUGUCGUCAGCUCGUGCCGUGAGGUGUCGGCUUAAGUGCCAUAACGAGCGCAACCCUUAUCUUUAGUUACUAACAGGUUAUGCUGAGGACUCUAGAGAGACUGCCGUCGUAAGAUGUGAGGAAGGUGGGGAUGACGUCAAAUCAGCACGGCCCUUACGUCCGGGGCUACACACGUGUUACAAUGGGGGGUACAGAAGGCAGCUAGCGGGUGACCGUAUGCUAAUCCCAAAAUCCUCUCUCAGUUCGGAUCGAAGUCUGCAACCCGACUUCGUGAAGCUGGAUUCGCUAGUAAUCGCGCAUCAGCCACGGCGCGGUGAAUACGUUCCCGGGCCUUGUACACACCGCCCGUCAAGCCAUGGGAGCCGGGGGUACCUGAAGUACGUAACCGCAAGGAUCGUCCUAGGGUAAAACUGGUGACUGGGGCUA